rnacentral:lncRNA from 1 species
UCAUGUCCUCCUCCGCCACCGUUAUCUCCGUCGCUAAGCCGUUACUUUCCCCCACCGUAUCCUUCACCGCGCCGCUCUCCUUCACACGCUCUCUCGCUCCUAAUCUCUCUCUCAAAUUCCGCAACCGCCGCACCAAUUCCGCCUCCGCCACCACCAGAUCCUUCGCUACGACACCCGUCACCGCCUCCAUUUCCGUCGGAGACAAGCUCCCAGACUCCACUCUCUCCUACCUC